UGAGGCUGUAGCUCAGUGGCAGAGCACUUGUCUAGCAUGCAUGAGGCACUGGGUUUGAUCCUCAGCACCACAA
rnacentral:tRNA from 1 species